rnacentral:rRNA from 1 species
AUCAAACCGGGAGAUAGCUGGUUCUCCCCGAAAGCUAUUUAGGUAGCGCCUCGUGAAUUCAUCUCCGGGGGUAGAGCACUGUUUCGGCUAGGGGGCCAUCCCGGCUUACCAACCCGAUGCAAACUGCGAAUACCGGAGAAUGUUAUCACGGGAGACACACGGCGGGUGCUAACGUCCGUCGUGAAGAGGGAAACAACCCAGACCGCCAGCUAAGGUCCCAAAGUCAUGGUUAAGUGGGAAACGAUGUGGGAAGGCCCAGACAGCCAGGAUGUUGGCUUAGAAGCAGCCAUCAUUUAAAGAAAGCGUAAUAGCUCACUGGUCGAGUCGGCCUGCGCGGAAGAUGUAACGGGGCUAAACCAUGCACCGAAGCUGCGGCAGCGAACGUAUCACCCAAGACAACUUUACGGAGUUGACGAUUGACGGAGCGAAGCGACGUCAAAGCGUUCAUUAAAGUCGAGUUGGCUUAGGGAUACGUUCGUUGGGUAGGGGAGCGUUCUGUAAGCCUGUGAAGGUGUGUCGUGAGGCAUGCUGGAGGUAUCAGAAGUGCGAAUGCUGACAUAAGUAACGAUAAAGCGGGUGAAAAGCCCGCUCGCCGGAAGACCAAGGGUUCCUGUCCAACGUUAAUCGGGGCAGGGUGAGUCGACCCCUAAGGCGAGGCCGAAAGGCGUAGUCGAUGGGAAACGGGUUAAUAUUCCCGUACUUGGUGUUACUGCGAAGGGGGGACGGAGAAGGCUAUGUUGGCCGGGCGACGGUUGUCCCGGUUUAAGCGUGUAGGUGUGUGUUCCAGGUAAAUCCGGUU